rnacentral:rRNA from 1 species
AGUUGAUUAUGGCUCAGAUUGAACGCUGGCGGCAGGCCUAACACAUGCAAGUCGAACGGUAACAGGAAGAAGCUUGCUUCUUGCUGACGAGUGGCGGACGGGUGAGUAAUGUCUGGGAAACUGCCUGAUGGAGGGGGAUAACUACUGGAAACGGUAGCUAAUACCGCAUAACGUCGCAAGACCAAAAAGGGGGACCUUCGGGCCUCUUGCCAUCGGAUGUGCCCAGAUGGGAUUAGCUAGUAGGUGGGGUAACGGCUCACCUAGGCGACGAUCCCUAGCUGGUCUGAGAGGAUGACCAGCCACACUGGAACUGAGACACGGUCCAGACUCCUACGGGAGGCAGCAGUGGGGAAUAUUGCACAAUGGGCGCAAGCCUGAUGCAGCCAUGCCGCCGUGUAUGAAGAAGGCCUUCGGGUUGUAAAGUACUUUCAGCGGGGAGGAAGGGAGUAAAGUUAAUACCUUUGCUCAUUGACGUUACCCGCAGAAGAAGCACCGGCUAACUCCGUGCCAGCCGCGGC